rnacentral:misc_RNA from 1 species
UGCAGUACUUCGUGCAAGAUGUUGUGAAUAUGCGCUACUUAUACUAGAAUAUUGGGCUGAUGCUCCAGAAAUACAGCGUUCAGCUGAUCUUUAUGAAGAUCUGAUAAGGUGUUGUGUUGCAGAUGCAAUGAGUGAGGUGCGAUCAACUGCAAGAAUGUGCUAUAGAAUGUUCGCAAAAACUUGGCCAGAGCGUUCCCGCCGCUUAUUUUCAUGUUUUGAUCCUGUUAUUCAACGGAUUAUUAAUGAAGAGGAUGGUGGCUUGCAUAGGCGACAUGCUUCUCCUUCCCUCCGAGAUAGAAGUGCACAAUUAUCAUUUGCUUCUCAAGCAUCUACUCCUUCAAAUUUACCUGGA